rnacentral:ncRNA from 1 species
GUUCGAAAUUUGAACAGUGAAUGAAACGGGAAUUUGGUGAACGUGAUGCUACUUGAUAGCAUUAAGUAACUCCAAAGCUGCCCCCGCAACGGUAAUUGAGAGUGUCGCUUAAGCAAUGCCACUGUGUGUAUGCAUGGGAAGGUGUUAAGUGACAGAUUCGCUUAGAUUAAGUCCCUUUGGGGAUUUCGAAUCACCUCAUAAGCCCGGAGACCGGCCUGCAACGU